CUUCCACGAGGCCCAUGAGCCGGGCUCCUGGCCUCUGCCUGGCAUCAGGCUGCCUGGUUUCUGAUGCUUUUCUUUAACUUUCUGCUGCCAGCAGCUGGGGCUGCGCCAGUGUCGUUCUCUCCUUUGCGAGGGCAGGGACCUCUCUCCAAGGGAGGUCUCUUGACAGUCAGAAAGAAACACACAGACAACCCCUUAGGCCUAGUAUCAAAUCUUGCUCUGGUAAGAGAUGCCAGUGCCUCUUGGUGGAAUCUGAGUCACAAUCUGCAGCCUUUUGGAGCCUAGAGAGAGCUUGGCCUCCAGGGUCCCUCCCUCGGGCCAGACGCAGACUUAACACUUAGCAGGUGUUAAGUCCCAUGCUACCUCUCUGCUCAUCUGGGCCUGGGUCCUCCAACCCAAAGACGGCAUCAAGGACGGCUCCCUGCUUUCGGAACCUGUGCUGGAGGACACAGCAGCAAGCUUACUGGGUGUGGAUGAAGAAAUGGCCCAAGCCGGAAACAAUAUUUCCCUGACUCUUCAAUCUGGGACCUCCAGCAUCCAGAACUUCAAGAAAUGAACGCAUGAAGAGGAGGAUGCUGCGGUGGCAAAAGGAAAAGAAUGGAGCUGAUGAGUUAAAGUUCACAAGGAGACAGAUGAGCACAGCGCCAAGAGCCUGUGCAGAAAGAAAUUUCGAUGGACCAGAGCAACCAAGCAAACAGAACCAACCCUUUACCCCCACUUUGUGAACUCUGCCAAGAAGAUUCUGGAGGCCAAAGGCAGGUCGUCGGAGUUGAGCAGCGAGCACCUUUACUGCUAACCCAUCUUGCCAGUUAUGUUUUGGAUGCAAGUGCUGCUUGCACUGUGUCGGAACGGUUGGCUCUGGUGUUUGGGGUCAGCAGUCCGAAUUUCAGCUCUGCUGUGUGACCUUAGGCAAGUUACUUAACCUUUCUGUGUGCUUCUGCUUUCUUGCUUCUAAAAUGGAAAUAACAAUGGCAUCUGUCUUAAACAGUCCCUGUGGGGAUUAAAUGAGUUAAGACAUAUAAAAUACUUGUCAGAUCGUGUGCCAGCAUCAUUUCUAUGUUUUCUCAUCCUUUGUACUUUUAUUGAUGAAAUGCUUAAAAAAAGUAGAACCAUGAUAGCUGUUUGUCAAAUAAAUAAGU